UGAGGAAUAUUGGACAAUGGGCGAAAGCCUGAUCCAGCUAUAUCGCGUGGGUGAUGAAGACUGUUCUGGUUGUAAAGCCCUUUACUUAAACAGAGAUUAUGACAAAACUUAAGAAAAAAGUCCCGGCCAAUUUCGUGCCAGCAGCCGCGGUAAUACGAGAGGGGCAAGCGUUAUUCGGAAUGAUUGGGCGUAAAGCGCACGUAGACUGUGAUGAAAAUCUGAGAGAAAAACUUCAAAGCUUCACUUUGACAUUGCUCUUAUUUGUGACUUUUUUAUUCACUUUGAUUACUUCACUAGAGUGAGGAAGAGGAGAAUGGAAUUUCUGGUGUAGAGGUAAAAUUUGUUGAUAUCAGAAGGAACACCAAAAGCGAAAGCAAUUCUCUGGGACUCCACUGACGUUGAGGUGCGAAGGCGUGGGGAUCAAAGG
rnacentral:rRNA from 1 species